UACAGAGGGGGCAAGCGUUGUUCGGAAUUACUGGGCGUAAAGGGCGCGUAGGCGGCCUUCUAAGUCGAACGUGAAAUCCCCGGGCUCAACCCGGGAACUGCGUCCGAUACUGGAAGGCUUGAAUCCGGGAGAGGGAUGCGGAAUUCCAGGUGUAGCGGUGAAAUGCGUAAAUAUCUGGAGGAACACCGGUGGCGAAGGCGGCAUCCUGGACCGGUAUUGACGCUGAGGCGCGAAAGCCAGGGGAGCAAACGGG
rnacentral:rRNA from 1 species